rnacentral:rRNA from 1 species
AACGUAGGUUCCGAGCGUUAUCCGGAUUUACUGGGCGUAAAGCGCGUUCAGGCGGUUUGGCAAGUCGGGCAUGAAAUCUCUCGGCUCAACCGGGAGAGGUUGUCCGAUACUGCUGGACUUGAGGGCAGUAGAGGGUGGUGGAAUUCCGGGUGUAGUGGUGAAAUGCGUAGAUAUCAGGAGGAACACCGGUGGCGAAGGCGGGUCUCUGGGCCGUAACUGACGCUGAGGAGCGAAAGCGUGGGGAGCGAACAGG